rnacentral:rRNA from 1 species
CUUGCUUCUAUAAGAUAGCGGCGGACGGGUGAGUAACACGUGGGUAACCUACCUUAUACAAAGGAAUAACAAUGAGAAAUCAUUGCUAAAACCUUAUAAGCUCACAAAGUCGCAUGACUCAAUGAGAAAAUAUUUAUAGGUAUAAGAUGGACCCGCGUCUGAUUAGCUAGUUGGUAAGGUAACGGCUUACCAAGGCGACGAUCAGUAGCCGACCUGAGAGGGUGACCGGCCACAUUGGGACUGAGACACGGCCCAAACUCCUACGGGAGGCAGCAGUGGGGAAUAUUGCACAAUGGGGGAAACCCUGAUGCAGCAACGCCGCGUGAAGGAUGAAGGCUUUCGAGUUGUAAACUUCUAUCAACGGGGAAGAAAAAAAUGACGGUACCCGAAUAAGAAGCCCCGGCUAACUACGUGCCAGCAGCCGCGGUAAUACGUAGGGGGCAAGCGUUAUCCGGAAUUACUGGGUGUAAAGGGUGAGUAGGCGGUAUGGUAAGUCAUAUGUGAAAGCCCGAGGCUCAACCUCGGGAUUGCAUAAGAAACUAUCA